AGAGUUCGAUCCUGGCUCAGGAUGAACGCUGGCGGCGCGCCUAACACAUGCAAGUCGAACGGCACCUAUCUUCGGAUAGAAGCGAGUGGCGAACGGCUGAGUAACACGUGGAGAACCUGCCCCCUCCCCCGGGAUAGCCGCCCGAAAGGACGGGUAAUACCGGAUACCCCGGGGUGCCGCAUGGCACCCCGGCUAAAGCCCCGACGGGAGGGGAUGGCUCCGCGGCCCAUCAGGUAGACGGCGGGGUGACGGCCCACCGUGCCGACAACGGGUAGCCGGGUUGAGAGACCGACCGGCCAGAUUGGGACUGAGACACGGCCCAGACUCCUACGGGAGGCAGCAGUGGGGAAUCUUGCGCAAUGGGGGGAACCCUGACGCAGCGACGCCGCGUGCGGGACGGAGGCCUUCGGGUCGUAAACCGCUUUCAGCAGGGAAGAGUCAAGACUGUACCUGCAGAAGAAGCCCCGGCUAACUACGUGCCAGCAGCCGCGGUAAUACGUAGGGGGCGAGCGUUAUCCGGAUUCAUUGGGCGUAAAGCGCGCGUAGGCGGCCCGGCAGGCCGGGGGUCGAAGCGGGGGGCUCAACCCCCCGAAGCCCCCGGAACCUCCGCGGCUUGGGUCCGGUAGGGGAGGGUGGAACACCCGGUGUAGCGGUGGAAUGCGCAGAUAUCGGGUGGAACACCGGUGGCGAAGGCGGCCCUCUGGGCCGAGACCGACGCUGAGGCGCGAAAGCUGGGGGAGCGAACAGGAUUAGAUACCCUGGUAGUCCCAGCCGUAAACGAUGGACGCUAGGUGUGGGGGGACGAUCCCCCCGUGCCGCAGCCAACGCAUUAAGCGUCCCGCCUGGGGAGUACGGCCGCAAGGCUAAAACUCAAAGGAAUUGACGGGGGCCCGCACAAGCAGCGGAGCAUGUGGCUUAAUUCGAAGCAACGCGAAGGUGCAUGGCUGUCGUCAGCUCGUGUCGUGAGAUGUUGGGUUAAGUCCCGCAACGAGCGCAACCCCCGCCGCGUGUUGCCAUCGGGUGAUGCCGGGAACCCACGCGGGACCGCCGCCGUCAAGGCGGAGGAGGGCGGGGACGACGUCAAGUCAUCAUGCCCCUUAUGCCCUGGGCUGCACACGUGCUACAAUGGCCGGUACAGAGGGAUGCCACCCCGCGAGGGGGAGCGGAUCCCGGAAAGCCGGCCCCAGUUCGGAUUGGGGGCUGCAACCCGCCCCCAUGAAGUCGGAGUUGCUAGUAAUCGCGGAUCAGCAUGCCGCGGUGAAUGCGUUCCCGGGCCUUGUACACACCGCCCGUCACACCACCCGAGUCGUCUGCACCCGAAGUCGCCGGCCCAACCGAGAGGGGGGAGGCGCCGAAGGUGUGGAGGGUGAGGGGGGUGAAGUCGUAACAAGGUAGCCGUACCGGAAGGUGCGGCUG
rnacentral:rRNA from 1 species